UACGGAGGGUGCAAGCGUUAAUCGGAAUUACUGGGCGUAAAGCGUGCGCAGGCGGUUUGUUAAGUCCGUUGUGAAAGCCCCGAGCUCAACCUGGGAAUUGCAGUGGAUACUGGCAGGCUGGAGUACGGUAGAGGAAGGUGGAAUUCCCGGUGUAGCAGUGAAAUGCGUAGAUAUCGGGAGGAACACCAGUGGCGAAGGCGGCCUUCUGGACCAGUACUGACGCUCAUGCACGAAAGCGUGGGGAGCAAACAGG
rnacentral:rRNA from 1 species